AUACACCUACCUGGCUAAAAGAAGAAGAUCAAACUGCGACACCUUCCGGUUCAACCGACAUAAUGCUAUUUAUCUGGUCUCUAGAAGUAGUAGCUGAUCAUACAGAGCAAGAAGAUGGUGGUAACAAGUUGCAUAUUGACUGAAAACAUCUUUUGUAACACUCCAUGUUGGAUUUCCAUAUUGCAGGAGUUUUAUAAUCCUUUUUAAUAUUUCCAUUGAAAACUCUCUUUGCCGUGAUUUAUUUCAAUGAACCAAGUUCACAGCAUGAUAAGGUCUACAACAGAAUGAACAUUAAGACAAUAGGGAUGUGAUAUUGUAAUAUAAACUUCAG